AUGGAGCCGGCAACAGGGAUCAUGGGAAAAACAACGGUGGCUGAACAGUGGACACCCGAAGCUGGCCGAGAAAGAGGGAGGCAGUGCGGGGCGGAAGAGGGCGUCCAUGUGGUAUCCGUUUCUGCUCAUCUUCAGCUUGCAGGUGAGCGGUUUACUGAAAUUGUAGCCAGUCCAUACUACAUGCUCCCAGAGGCAUUAAAGCACAACUAUUGUUCUGAAAUCGUUGUCUGGAUUGUAGGGGUUAUACUUUACAUACUUCCCUGUGGUGUGCAAACAUUUCUGGAAGGUGCUUACUUUCCUUGA
rnacentral:rRNA from 1 species